rnacentral:rRNA from 1 species
CCUACGGGUGGCAGCAGUGAGGAAUAUUGGUCAAUGGGCGGGAGCCUGAACCAGCCAAGCCGCGUGAGGGAAGAAGGUCCAGCGUAUCGUAAACCUCUUUUGUCAGGGAACAAAGUCGGGGACUAGUCCCCGGCUGAGUGUACCUGACGAACAAGCAUCGGCUAACUCCGUGCCAGCAGCCGCGGUAAUACGGAGGAUGCGAGCGUUAUCCGGAUUGAUUGGGUUUAAGGGGUGGGCAGGCGGGCUGUUAAGUCAGCGGUAAAAGCCCGGGGCCAAACCCCGGCGUGCCGUUGAAACUGGCGGGCUGGAGUGGGAGAGAGGUACGCGGAAUGCGCGGUGUAGCGGUGAAAUGCUUAGAUAUCGCGCAGAACCCCGAUUGCGAAGGCAGCGUACCGGCUCCAAACUGACGCUGAGGCACGAAAGCGUGGGUAUCGAACAGGAUUAGAUACCCCUGUAGUC